rnacentral:misc_RNA from 1 species
UAGAGUUUAUAAAACUCCCAAACCCAUGUGAACUUACCUUUGUUGCCUCGGCGGAGCCUACCCUGUAGCUACCCUGUAAGGGGGUUACCCUGUAGCGCCCCGCCGGUGGAAUUUCAAACUCUUGUUAUUUACAAUGAAUCUGAGCGUCUUAUUUUAAUAAGUCA